rnacentral:rRNA from 1 species
AUUGAACGCUGGCGGCAUGCCUUACACAUGCAAGUCGAACGGCAGCACAGGGGCAACCCUGGUGGCGAGUGGCGAACGGGUGAGUAAUACAUCGGAACGUGUCCGGUCGUGGGGGAUAACCAGUCGAAAGAUUGGCUAAUACCGCAUGAGCUCGAAAGAGGAAAGCGGGGGACCCGCAAGGGCCUCGCGCGACUCGAGCGGCCGAUGUCGGAUUAGCUUGUUGGCGGGGUAAAAGCCCACCAAGGCGACGAUCCGUAGCUGGUUUGAGAGAACGACCAGCCACACUGGGACUGAGACACGGCCCAGACUCCUACGGGAGGCAGCAGUGGGGAAUUUUGGACAAUGGGCGCAAGCCUGAUCCAGCCAUGCCGCGUGUGUGAAGAAGGCCC